GAUGAACGCUGGCGGCGUGCCUAAUACAUGCAAGUCGAGCGAACAGACGAGGAGCUUGCUCCUCUGACGUUAGCGGCGGACGGGUGAGUAACACGUGGAUAACCUACCUAUAAGACUGGGAUAAAUUCGGGAAACCGGAGCUAAUACCGGAUAAUAUAUUGAACCGCAUGGUUCAAUAGUGAAAGACGGUUUUGCUGUCACUUAUAGAUGGAUCCGCGCCGCAUUAGCUAGUUGGUAAGGUAACGGCUUGCCAAGGCAACGAUGCGUAGCCGACCUGAGAGGGUGAUCGGCCACACUGGAACUGAGACACGGUCCAGACUCCUACGGGAGGCAGCAGUAGGGAAUCUUCCGCAAUGGGCGAAAGCUUGACGGAGCAACGCCGCGUGAGUGAUGAAGGUCUUCGGAUCGUAAAACUCUGUUAUUAGGGAAGAACAAAUGUGUAAGUAACUAUGCACGUCUUGACGGUACCUAAUCAGAAAGCCACGGCUAACUACGUG
rnacentral:rRNA from 1 species